AGCAACGUGGCCAUUACACCAUCUACUGAUCCCUACAAUAAAACUUUAUAUCGUAAAGAUAUUACACAAAGAAGCAAGUAGUAGGGCCAGCCCCAUGGCCUGGUGGUGAAGGAAGCCAAAUCCCACAUGACCGACUGCAGGAUUCCAGUCCCGGUCCAGAGGCUUAUGGAACAUACUAGACUCCUGUGUCUGUGCUCAAAAUCCUGACAGGAGGGGAAAAUGGAGAAGGGAUUGCAGCAUAACCAUGCUCCAAUGAAAGCCAGGCCUGAAUCACAAAUCCAGCAGUGGAGAGAUUGAGGCUGCAUGGACUGGAGAUGAGAUGAGAAAGGAGCUGUUCUUCCAAGGACAUCUGAGGAAUUGCCGAGGUCACCCAGGAGCUAGCAGAAGGCUUGUGUCGUGGGAGUUCGUACAUGGAUGGGCCUUUCGGCAUGCUCUCCAGGUACAGACACCAGAGAGACAAGAUCCCAGGUCACCGAGCCAACGUGGGCGUCGUACCUGCAUGACUGCAAGCAUGUGGACCCUCUGGCAGAAAAACAAAAAUAAAAAAGAAAACAUCACUGGAACUUGUCAAAUCUAGCAUUUGAAUGAAAUCAUAUACUAUUGUGGAAAGACUUUGGUUAACAAAAGAUGUAAGAAAUAUAGAUUGCGCUCAGCUGAAAGAACCAUAUUAACAGUUUGCUGACGGAAGUAAUGUUUG